CUCGAAUGAUGAUACACAAAUCAUACAGUUCUGCUUCUGCAACAUCAUUGAAGAAAACAAUUAACCUUACCAAAUUCUAUCUGAUUG
rnacentral:snoRNA from 1 species